rnacentral:tRNA from 1 species
GCCUGGGUGGCUCAGUUGGUUGAGCAUCGGACUUCAGUUCAGGUCAUGAUCUUAACGGUUCUUGGGUUCAAGCCCUAAGUCGGGCU